ACGGGAGGCAGCAGUGAGGAAUAUUGGUCAAUGGGCGAGAGCCUGAACCAGCCAAGUAGCGUGAAGGACGACGGCCCUACGGGUUGUAAACUUCUUUUGUUCGGGAAUAAAGUGCGGGACGUGUCCCGCUUUGCAUGUACCGUUCGAAUAAGCAUCGGCUAAUUCCGUGCCAGCAGCCGCGGUAAUACGGAAGAUGCGAGCGUUAUCCGGAUUUAUUGGGUUUAAAGGGAGCGUAGGCGGCCUUUUAAGUCAGCGGUCAAAUGUCAGCGCCCAACGCUGGCCUGCCGUUGAUACUGAUGGGCUUGAAUACACACAAGGAAGGUGGAAUUCGUCGUGUAGCGGUGAAAUGCUUAGAUAUGACGAAGAACUCCGAUUGGGAAGCCAGCUUACUGUAGCGCCACUGACGCUGAUGCUCGAAAGCGUGGGUAUCGAACAGGAUUAGAUACCCUGGUA
rnacentral:rRNA from 1 species